rnacentral:rRNA from 1 species
AGAGUUUGAUCCUGGCUCAGAUUGAACGCUGGCGGCGUGCCUAACACAUGCAAGUCGAGCGGUAGCAGGUGUAGCAAUACAUGCUGACGAGCGGCGAACGGGUGAGUAAUGCUUCGGAAUCUACCCACGGGUGGGGAAUAACCAACCGAAAGGUUGGCUAAUACCGCAUAAGUCCUACGGGGGAAAGCGGGGGAUCGAAAGACCUCGCGCCGGUGGAUGAGCCGAAGCCGGAUUAGCUAGUUGGUAGGGUAAUGGCCUA